CAGGAUAAUCACUUGAACCAAGGAGGUGGAGGCUGCAGUGAGCCGGGGUCACACCAGUAUACUCCAGCCUGGGCAACAAGAGUGAAACUCCAUCUCAAAAAAAAAUUAAAUAAUAAUAUUAAUAAUAAUAGUAACAGAAUGGUAUGGAUCCUCCUUAGGGUCUAUGUCACAGAGGAACAAAGGGAGGCAAGGUAACAAUGACAAAUGUGAGGACUGACUGCAGCAGAAUGUGCAGCUAUCCUUUUGAUAAUCACUUAACGAAAUAGAAAAACCCAGAACUAGUUAUUAGCAGAACUGAGACAAGAAGCCUUUAAAAACUCCUAAUACAUUCCUCUUUCCAUCACUCUUAUUUUUCCUGUAGCUAAAAUGACUUCGAAGGUGGUGUUCUAUCACAGAAAAUGGUAGAGCUUAUAGUCUGAAAAAGGUUGAUCUGGGAUACCAUAUUCAGAGAAACCCCUCUCUGGUCUGGGACAGUGCAUUAUAAUGAAGUAUCCCUCAGACACACAUGAAGGCAUUUACCAAA
rnacentral:lncRNA from 10 species